AUGGAAACUAAUCCUUUGAGGGGCGUGUUCGGGGCAUCUUCUCCCCGACCAGUAGAGCAAAGAGUUGCUCCUCAACCUACUGAACCUACUAAAAAUGUUUACUUUGAGAUUCCUUCGGGUAUGAUAGGAAAACUGCUAGAUAAUCCCUUUGCAGGAGAUGGAACAUUGCAUCCCGAUUUACACCUUAUCUAUGUGGAUGAAGUUUGUGGAUUAUUUAAGCUUGCAGGUAUACCCGAUGAUUUUGUUAAGAGGAAGGUCUUCCCUUUAUCUUUGAAGGGAGAUGCGUUGACAUGGUAUUGGCUAUGUGAUGAUAUGGGAUCUUGGGACUAUAAAUGA
rnacentral:rRNA from 1 species